AGAAUCAACGCUGGCGGCGUGCCUAACACAUGCAAGUCGCACGAGAAAGGGGAGCAAUCCCUGAGUAAAGUGGCGCACGGGUGAGUAACACGUGAAUCAUCUACCCUCGGGUGGGGAAUAACCUGGAGAAAUCCGGGCUAAUACCGCAUAACACUUACGAGUCAAAGCAGAAAUGCGCCUGGGGAGGAGUUCGCGGCCGAUUAGCUAGUUGGCGGGGUAAUGGCCCACCAAGGCGAUGAUCGGUAUCCGGCCUGAGAGGGCGCACGGACACACUGGAACUGAAACACGGUCCAGACUCCUACGGGAGGCAGCAGUGGGGAAUUUUGCGCAAUGGGGGAAACCCUGACGCAGCAACGCCGCGUGGAGGAUGAAGUAUCUUGGUACGUAAACUCCUUUCGAUGGGGAAGAUAAUGACGGUACCCAUAGAAGAAGCCCCGGCUAACUUCGUGCCAGCAGCCGC
rnacentral:rRNA from 1 species